rnacentral:tRNA from 1 species
UAAAGGAUUGUUUGAGGUAUAUGGAUCAUCACUUUUUAUGAAAGUAUAAUCAGUAGUGUUGAAUAAUGGUUUUCUUUGUUCGAAUUCAAGUCCUCCGU